rnacentral:rRNA from 1 species
UACGUAGGGUCCGAGCGUUGUCCGGAAUUAUUGGGCGUAAAGGGCUCGUAGGCGGUUUGUCGCGUCGGGAGUGAAACACGGGCUUAAACCCGUGCCUGCUUCCGAUACGGGCAGACUAGAGGUAUGCAGGGGAGAACGGAAUUCCUGGUGUAGCGGUGAAAUGCGCAGAUAUCAGGAGGAACACCGAUGGCGAAGGCAGGUCACUGGGCCGCAACUGACACUCAACUGACGAAAGCGUGGGGAGCAAACAGG